UGGAGGAAAGUAGGGGAUCGCAAGACCUUGCGCUUUUGGAGUGGCCGAUGCCUGAUUAGCUAGUUGGUAGGGUAAUGGCUUACCAAGGCGACGAUCAGUAGUUGGUCCGAGAGGACGACCAGCCACACUGGGACUGAGACACGGCCCAGACUCCUACGGGAGGCAGCAGUGGGGAAUUUUGGACAAUGGGCGAAAGCCUGAUCCAGCAAUGCCGCGUGAGUGAAGAAGGCCUUCGGGUUGUAAAGCUCUUUCAGUCGAGAAGAAAAGGUUGUGACUAAUAAUCACAACUCAUGACGGUAUCGACAGAAGAAGCACCGGCUAACUACGUGCCAGCAGCCGCGGUAAUACGUAGGGUGCGAGCGUUAAUCGGAAUUACUGGGCGUAAAGGGUGCGCAGGCGGCUUUGUAAGUCAGAUGUGA
rnacentral:rRNA from 1 species